rnacentral:rRNA from 1 species
UUACGGCCACAUCACGUUGAAACACCGGUUCCCGUACGAUCACCAAAGUUAAGCAACGUCCACCCUGGUCGGUACCAAGAUGGGUGACCGCUUGGGAAUAACAGGUGCUGUAAG